rnacentral:misc_RNA from 1 species
AACGCACAUUGCACCCGAUGGGUGGUCACACUUGUCGGGUCUGCCUGGCUGAGUAUCAGCACGGACCCAAAGAGAAAAACAUUUUCUUUUUGGUGCUCGUCUUUCUCGUUUUGAGAAGGGCGGAUGUGAGCUGUCCGGCUACCACCUCGUGUGAUGGUCGGUCGCUUGAAAAGCAAGUGUCGUUGUCAUCGCACACCACUUCAGCAAACCAUUGAUCAUCCUUUUGGAUGUUCUUUGCUGGCCAAUGUGGAGCGAUUGAUACAUACACUAUACGCGCAGUGUAAUCAUACACUAUACCACCCUUGAUCUCAGAUUAGGCAGGAUGACCCGCUGAACUUAA